rnacentral:tRNA from 1 species
GCCGAAGUAGCUCAGUUGGUAGAGCAACGGUAUCGUAAACCGUGGGUCAGGAGUUCGAGUCUCCUCUUCGGCUC